GAUGAACGCUGGCGGCGUGCCUAAUACAUGCAAGUCGGGCGAGCAGACGAGGAUCUUGCUCCUCUCGGGUUAGCAGCGGACGGGUGAGUGACACUUGGAGAACCUACCUAUAUGGCUGGGAUAGCUUCUAGAAACCAGAGCGAGUACCGGAAGAUGGAUUGAGCCGCAUGGGUCACUAGUGACAGACUGGUUUGCUGUCGCUGCUAGAUGUAUCCGCGCCGCAGUAGAUAGUUGGUUAGGUAACGGCUUACCAAGACAACGAUGCGUAGCCGACCUGAGAGGGUGAUAGGCCACACUGGAACUGAGACACCGUCCAGACUCCUACGGGAGGAAGCAGCAGGGAAUCUCGCGCAAUGGGCGAAAGCAAGAUGGAGCAACGCCGCGUGAGUGAUGAAGGUCAUCGGAUGGUAAAACUCUGUGCUUAGGGAAGCACAACUGUGUAAGCCACUAAGCAAGCAUUGACGGUAUCUAAUCAGAAAGCAACGGCUAACUCCGUG
rnacentral:rRNA from 1 species